rnacentral:rRNA from 1 species
CCAGAGAACUUAGCAGAGAUGCUUUGGUGCCUUCGGGAACUCUGAGACAGGUGCUGCAUGGCUGUCGUCAGCUCGUGUUGUGAAAUGUUGGGUUAAGUCCCGCAACGAGCGCAACCCUUAUCCUUUGUUGCCAGCGGUCCGGCCGGGAACUCAAAGGAGACUGCCAGUGAUAAACUGGAGGAAGGUGGGGAUGACGUCAAGUCAUCAUGGCCCUUACGAGUAGGGCUACACACGUGCUACAAUGGCGCAUACAAAGAGAAGCGACCUCGCGAGAGCAAGCGGAACCUCAUAAAGUGCGUCGUAGUCCGGAUUGGAGUCUGCAACUCGACUCCAUGAAGUCGGAAUCGCUAGUAAUCGUAGAUCAGAAUGCUACGGUGAAUACGUUCCCGGGCCUUGUACACACCGCCCGUCACACCAUGGGAGUGGGUUGCAAAAGAAGUAGGUAGCUUAACCUUCGGGAGGGCGCUUACCACUUUGUGAUUCAUGACUGGGGUGAAGUCGUAACAAGGUAAGCGUACGUGU